rnacentral:rRNA from 1 species
AGCGAACGCUGGCGGCAGGCCUAACACAUGCAAGUCGAACGAAGCCUUCGGGCUUAGUGGCGGACGGGUGAGUAACACGUGGGAACGUACCUUUUGGUUCGGAACAACUCAGGGAAACUUGAGCUAAUACCGGAUGAGCCCUUAGGGGGAAAGAUUUAUCGCCGAAAGAGCGGCCCGCGUUAGAUUAGCUAGUUGGUGAGGUAAAGGCUCACCAAGGCAACGACCUAUAGCUGGUCUGAGAGGAUGAUCAGCCACACUGGGACUGAGACACGGCUCAGACUCCUACGGGAGGCAGCAGUGGGGAAUCUUGCGCAAUGGGCGAAAGCCUGACGCAGCCAUGCCGCGUGAAUGAUGAAGGUCUUAGGAUUGUAAAAUUCUUUUACCAGGGACGAUAAUGACGGUACCUGGAGAAAAAGCCCCGGCUAACUUCGUGCCAGCCGCCGCCGUAAAAC